AUCACCAAACUGUUUUGAAAGAUAAAAGUACUUCCUGAAUAUGUGGAUGGUGAGCCACGUGAAUGGAAGACAUGGAGAUAUGGACUGUUAACACCUUGUCAAACAUUUAUUGUCCCUUCCACCUCUAAACUUCUGUGAUAAUAGGUGAACAGGACCCACGUGGUGCAGAAUACUGCGAUACACACUGCGGAAUAAUUCAGUGCAGAACAACACGUGGAUUGCUCAGUACAACUUGUUCAUCACAUCCUCCUGUUCACUGAAGAAUUAUGGAAAUAUUCUCUGAGCUGCUUUCCUCCCUGCCCAACGAGUCAUCUCUGUGUGAAAGGCCAAGCUUAUAAAUCCUGAAGAAAGAGACAUUAUACAAAUGCAAGCUGUUGUCACAACAAUGAUAAGAAAUCAGGAGUCGAAAGAUGUGGAGUAAGGGGGAAUUUCAGAGAAACCACAAAACACAAAAUAGGAAACAGAGACAGGAGAAGAUUGCUAUGACAAAAUUGCAGAAGGUGAAAUCUUUGGCAGCCUCUUAUUUCUCUGGAGAAUAUGAUAUUGUCAGGCUGAGGUGGAAGAAUCACAUGGUCAUACUGUUGAAGAGGUCUUGAAACAUUGGGCUUUCCUCUACAAGCGGAAGGAUAGCACUGGCAGCCAUCCACUGGCCCAGCAAUAUCCUGGAUUGAGACGAUAUCAUUUGCAUUACUUGCUGAAUGAAACAUAGUGAAAAUGACUGCAGAUAACCUCAACUAAGUCCAAGAUAUCAUUUUCAAAUCUGGACCAGCCCUUGCCAUCUAGACUGAACAGAGAUUCCAGUUUCCAGGAGAGUAGAUGGAGUAAUGAUAAAAGCACCUCCCAAAACUUUUGCCUUGUGAUUGGCAAAAAAGAGAGACAUCAAUAUGGACUGAAGUCACAGAAUGAGUUUCCUGGGAGAGAUGCUUCUUGAUAUGACCCUAGAAGCUCCAUCAAAACUUAUAAAAUCUUGGGAAGAGGAACUGUGGCCCAUCACUGAUCAUUUCAUCUAUUAAGUGACCACUUAUUGUCUUAUAAUAGGAGAUGUUCUGGAAACAUGCAUUGAAUCGAAGUGGCUUUGAGGAAGCAUGAAGAGAAAACAGGAUGGCAUCCUUUUGGCACCAUUUCUUAUGCUAUAAUAAGGAUUCCUUCUGUUUACACAUAAAACAGAAGAGUUUAAUCACCCCAGCAAUCUUUAACUUGGUAAUGAAGGCCAUAAAUUAAAUUUUAAGCAAAGUUAAAGAAGAUGAGAUGAAAUAUAAAACAAAAACAUCAUCAGAAUCUGCCCAGGAACAAUAUUCUUGACACCAAACCAUGACAUUAUGGGGCUCAGUUGUUUGUUUCUAGGGCAGCCCCUUGUUUUAUGUGCCAAAUAGCAUUUCCCUAAAUAAAACUGCAUGGAACAAAA
rnacentral:lncRNA from 1 species